UACGAGAGGCCCAAACGUUAUUCGGAUUUACUGGGCUUAAAGAGUUCGUAGGCGGCGCAGAAAGUAGGGUGUGAAAGCCCUCGGCUCAACCGAGGAAUUGCGCUCUAAACUACUGUGCUUGAGGGACCUAGAGGUGAGCAGAACUGAUGGUGGAGCGGUGAAAUGCGUUGAUAUCAUCAGGAAUACCGGAGGCGAAGGCGGCUCACUGGGCCGAUACUGACGCUGAGGAGCGAAAGCGUGGGGAGCGAACAGG
rnacentral:rRNA from 1 species